rnacentral:lncRNA from 1 species
GUUAUAAAUACACUUCUAUUUAAGGUGAAUGUCUUUAAUUAGAGAGAUCCUAGAGUUCUAUUCUUGGUAGAUAAAUCAUCUCACUCCCUAUAAAUAGAGGUGCCCUCUACCAUUGUAAAUCACUCCUAACAUUCUCUAAGUAUCAAUAAGAAGAACUUUCAUAGAUAAAUCAUCCUCCUCCCUAUAAAUAGAGGUGCUCUCUAUCAUUGUAAAUAACUCCUAACAUUCUCUAAGUAUCAAUAAGAAGAACUCUC